CAUGGACCAUCAUGUCACUCCUUGCCACUUCCUGGCAUCCAAACAUGACAAUGAAUGGAAUGAUGGCACACACUGAUCUGGGAGCAGCAGGUUAGACACUGAUCUGGGAGCAGCAGGUUAGACACUGAUCUGGGAGCAGCAGGUUAGACACUGAUCUGGGAGCAGCAGGUUAGACACUGAUCUGGGAGCAGCAGGUUAGACACUGAUCUGGGAGCAGCAGGUUAGACACUGAUCUGGGAGCAGCAGGUUAGACACUGAUCUGGGAGCAGCAGGUUAGACACUGAUCUGAGAGCAGCAGGUUAGACACUGAUCUGGGAGCAGCAGGUUAGACACUGAUCUGGGAGCAGCAGGUUAGACACUGAUCUGGGAGCAGCAGGUUAGACACUGAUCUGGGAGCAGCAGACACUGAUCUGGGAGCAGCAGGUUAGACACUGAUCUGGGAGCAGCAGACACUGAUCUGGGAGCAGCAGACACUGAUCUGGGAGCAGCAGGUUAGACACUGAUCUGGGAGCAGCAGACACUGAUCUGGGAGCAGCAGGUUAGACACUGAUCUGGGAGGAGCAGGUUAGCGUUUGGUGCCAGUGGUUAGUUUGCUGAAGUGUAGUGUAUAUCUGUUGCUCGGGGUCACUGUCCCCCUUUAACACCAAGCAUGAGGCCUAAAGGCAGCGAUGGACUCGGUAACGAACUACUGAAACAGAAGAGAACCCCGUUCUAUCUACGACGUGGUAAGGAACUACUGAAACAGAAGAGAACCCCGUUCUAUCUACGACGUGGUAAGGAACUAAUGAAACAGAAGAGAACCCAGUUCUAUCUACGACGUGACCCAUUUUGUCCUGUCAAACUCAGUGGAUGAGGUCUUCCCCCCCCUGAGGUCUUCUGUCUCCCCCCUGAGGUCUCCCCCCUGAGGUCUUCGAGAUUUGAUCGAUUCUGCCUCCCCCCCCCCAAAAAAGUCAAAACGUCCUUGUCACUAUUGUGUGAAGUCUUAUGGUGUUGUAAGUGAUGAUGAUGAUGAUAUUGAUGAUUAUGAUGAUGAUGAUAUUGAUGAUGAUGAUGAUGAUGAUAUUG